rnacentral:rRNA from 1 species
UACGGAGGGGGGCUAGCGUUGUUCGGAAUUACUGGGCGUAAAGCGCACGUAGGCGGCUUUGUAAGUUAGAGGUGAAAGCCCGGAGCUCAACUCCGGAAUUGCCUUUAAGACUGCAUCGCUUGAAUCAUGGAGAGGUGAGUGGAAUUCCGAGUGUAGAGGUGAAAUUCGUAGAUAUUCGGAAGAACACCAGUGGCGAAGGCGACUCACUGGACAUGUAUUGACGCUGAGGAGCGAAAAGCGUGGG